UACGUAGGGGGCGAGCGUUGUCCGGAUUUAUUGGGCGUAAAGAGCGUGUAGGCGGCUUUGCAGGUCCGCUGUGAAAACUCGAGGCUCAACCUCGAGCUGUCGGUGGAAACCGUGGAGCUAGAGUCCGGAAGAGGAGAGUGGAAUUCCUGGUGUAGCGGUGGAAUGCGCAGAUAUCAGGAGGAACACCAAUAGCGAAGGCAGCUCGCUGGGACGUUACUGACACUGAGGCGCGAAAGCGUGGGGAGCGAACAGG
rnacentral:rRNA from 1 species